rnacentral:misc_RNA from 1 species
CUGCAAUCACCAUCAGAGUCCAGGCUUUCUUCUCCCAAAUCUUCUCUAACUGUCUCUCGGGCGGCUGAAUGAUCUCCUCCAUUCUCAACGUAGUCAGCCAUUUCAUCAUCGCCUCCCUGUUUUCCAUAAUUAAUCAAUCUUCUAUCCACUGUGACUUUCCUUGGACUCAGUAAAACCAAUUCAGCCAGCCUUCUCCUAGCUAAAUAUAACUCAUUAGGCUCAAUCAACUCUCCCUUCCUAUAAGCCUCCCUGAGAAACACCGUAUGCAAUUUCCCUUGAUUUCCCCUUGUCGAAAUAUAAAAUAUCCCUUGAUGUUGAAGAAG